rnacentral:rRNA from 1 species
AACGUAGGUGGCGAGCGUUAUCCGGAUUUACUGGGCGUAAAGGGUGUGCAGGCGGGGUAUCAAGUGGUGUCUGAAAGGGCGCGGCUCAACCGCGCUAGGGUAUGCCAGACUGAUGCACUAGAGGACCAAACAGGGCUGUGGAAUUCCGGGUGUAGUGGUGAAAUGCGUAGAGAUCCGGAGGAACCCCAGAGGCGAAGGCGGCAGCCUGGUUGGUAUCUGACGCGCGGACACGAAAGCAUGGGGAGCGAACGGG